rnacentral:lncRNA from 1 species
AGAAUAAGAAAAAGAAGAAGAAGACUUGAGAAUUAAAUCAUCAGCAUAACAAGGUUUACUGGAAGAGGAAUUAUUUAAGGCCAUUUUAGGUACUGCAAUUGAGCUCCCAAAACACAAAAACAAGGCAUCUGAAUGGAAGUAACUGAAUUCUAUACUUAAACAAGUAUGGUAGCUGACACUGCUACUACUAUUCCAAGAAUCCAUGUUAUUAUUUGGAAAACAACAAGGCAGCUGAAUGGAAGCAACUGAAACCUAUACUUAAACAACUGACACUACUACUAUUCCAAGAGUUCCCAAGAUCCGUGUUAUUAUUUGAGGUACCCAAUUUC